rnacentral:lncRNA from 1 species
CUCCCAAAGUUCUAGCAUAACAUGUGUGAGCCACCACAUCUGGCCUGCAAUGCUUUUUUUGGCCAAUUAUAAGUUAGCUAUAUUAAAUGAGACUAACAGUGAUGUUUAAUGAUACUAAAUAAGACCUGGAUAAUAUAAACCACCUUUUAUGUGAUCAUUAAUAUUUUUUAUGGUAGGCUGUAAGUGUACAGUGACAGAAAUGAGGUUCAAAAGCCAAGCAGGUAUGCCUGGGAUAAGUUAUAGCCUUUUGUUAGCUUUAUGCCACUAGCAUUCAUAAGGCACAUACUAUAUUCAAGGACAGCGCUAUGGUGUGAGUGUUUGCAUCCCUCCAAAAUUCACAUGUUGAAAUCUUCUUUUUUUUUUCUUUUUCUUUCCUUGUUUUUUUUUUUUUUUUUUGGCAGGUAACCUUCUGAGCUAGAGUAGGCUCAGAGACUCCCUCAUCUGUUGAAAUCGAAUCUCCAAUGUUUUGCCUUUAAGAGGUGGGGCUGUUGGGUCAUGAGGGCAGAACCCUCGUGAAUGGGAAUAAUCCCGCCAUAAAAGAGGCCUGAGGGAGUUUGCUUGCCCCUUUCCUCCUUCCACCAUGUGAGAAUGCAGCAAGAAGGUGCCCUGUAUGAAGCAGAGGGCCCUCACCAGGCACCGAAUCCGGUGGCACCUUGAUGUUGAACUUCUCGGCCUUCAGAACUGUGACACAGAGAAUGAGUGGAAUACUAAUACAUUGAAGGGCAAAAUCAAAACCCCAGAAGAUCUCUAAAAGUCUGAAUGAAUCAGCCCAUAUUACAAGAUAAAGUCCAUAAUGGUAAACGGAAGGCUCUGGUCUUGGUUUACAAAAUCCAACCACUCAAAUAUGUAGUUGCUGGAAGUUUUGUGGCCAUGGGGAUGCUGACAAAGAUUGCUUGGGAUGCACACAAGGCAGCGGCGAAGCCUGAGGGGUGCUGCCAGGCCGGGCUCUCCACUGGCCACGAAUUUGUACAUAUGGCUUUGGAAACCUCAUCCAACACUAAGUAAUGAACAUACAUGAGGAUACUAUGUAUUUUUCAACCUGCAAGCCCAAGAUUUCAAAUUCUUUGGUUUAUCGCAGAGAACACAUCUCUCAAAUUGUCUUCAAGGAGCACUGCAGGAGAAAGUCCUGGCAACUUGGCGCAGCGAAUUUGAUCAGCACCAUACGUACGACCUGUCUCAGGAACGGUGCCAUGUGUGUGACUAGGACUGCAAAGCAGCUUGUGUUCGUGGGGGAAAUGACAGGCACAGGAAGGAAAAGCUGAGAACACUGAAACGGUUCCUAAUCGUGCAGUGGGGAAAGGAGGGCGACUGCCGCGCAGAGUGGCACGUUGGCUGGAAGAGGGGAUUGAUCAGCAGUGCUGGCAGGAACAGCAUAGGCUUGUCGUGUGAUCUAACAGAAGAGGCAGCAAUCUGGAGGCGCCCCAGAUCAGAGAAGAGACAUCAAGCCCCAGGAGAAAUGGAUUUCCUUUCUCCCCACCCAUCAGCUGGGUAGGAAGCCCGAAGGAGCCUUUCAUGGAACUAUGGGAAGGGCUCCUCUGACGCAGAGGGGAUGAACUGGAAGCAAGAUGCUGACUGUUUCCAAAGGCUUGACAGUCAGAAGCAGGCAGGCUUCAGCCUAUUGAGAUACUUUACCCAAGAGGAUUUCCGCUUAGGUUCUGUCUUGAAAGAAAUAUUCGCUCCCAAAUUUCCUCCCAUCAAGAGUGCUUCUCCCUACAGAAGGCUAAGGCUCACAGGUUGUCCCCAGGGACACAUUUCUUUCAAGUAGGAUGACUGGUAUGUUUAGACUGAAAAGCUGAUUUACUGGAAGAUUGCUAUCACCCCCUGGCCUACCAUGUCGUUGGUGUGGCCAGUGUUUAUCAGACAGUGGUGUUUCCAGCUUAGGCCUGAAUGGAAGAAGAAACUGAAAGAAGAAAUAAAAAGAGA